rnacentral:rRNA from 1 species
UACGUAGGGGGCAAGCGUUAUCCGGAUUCACUGGGGUUAAAGGGUGCGUAGGUGGGCAGGCAAGUCAGUGGUGAAAUCUCCGAGCUUAACUCGGAAACUGCCAUUGAUACUAUUUGUCUUGAAUAUCCUGGAGGUGAGCGGAAUAUGUCAUGUAGCGGUGAAAUGCUUAGAUAUGACAUAGAACACCAAUUGCGAAGGCAGCUCACUGCGGGAUAAUUGACGCUGAGGCACGAAAGCGUGGGGAUCAAACAGG